rnacentral:lncRNA from 1 species
GGGUGCGUAAUCUUUAUGAAUGAGAGGGAGGGAGGAGGGUUUUUGUAGAAAUAGAUUUAUGAAUGAGAGGGAGGGAGGAGGGUUUUUGUAGAAAUAGAUUUAUGAAUGAGAGGGAGGGAGGAGGGUUUUUGUAGAAAUAGAUUUAUGAAUGAGAGGGAGGGAGGAGGGUUUUUGUAGAAAUAGAUUUAUGAAUGAGAGGGAGGGAGGAGGGUUUUUGUAGAAAUAGAUUUAUGAAUGAGAGGGAGGGAGGAGGGUUUUUGUAGAAAUAGAUUUAUGAAUGAGAGGGAGGGAGGAGGGUUUUUGUAGAAAUAGAUUUAUGAAUGAGAGGGAGGGAGGAGGGUUUUUUGCAGAGUGUUGCACCAGUUUGUGCAGUAAUCUUUGAAGGUAAGUAUUUGCGAUUUCUUGCGGGAGAAAAGAGAAGCAAAGGAUCUUGGCAUCUUUGAAGAAGAUGAUGAUUUGAACUUGAUGUGAGCAAAUUUGUUGUUUCUUCAUAAGCAGCCAGAGAAAAG